UAGAAGGGGGAGGGGAGGCUGUAAACCGACUGUGUCUCCUAUUAAGGAACACAGUCAGCGCUGACAAGGGGUCUCCCUUUGCUGCGCUGUGUGUGGGUUGGCUCCGAUCUCUGUGUCUCUCUUGCCAUUCUUGGGGGGGAAACUCCUGUGUGUGUGUGGAGUGUUUGAUGGUCUCUUUUAGCUAUGUCCAGGGACACUGUGUCAUAUGCUGCAGAGGAUUUAUCCUCCCAGGAUGAUCCCAUUCCAUGUAAUCAGGAUAGCACUGGUUUAGCACAGAUACCAGCAAGGGAACCAGAGUGGUUUUCCUCUAUCAAAUCUUGGAUUUCCCAGAUUUCUGACAGGGUUGCAAGUAAUGAAUCUACAACCCAGGUAUUACAGAGCUCUAUGGCAGUAUGGCCUGGUUCUGGUACCUUAGGACGCCCCAUUAUAUACCCCCACAGUUUCUAGACUGAGUCUGGUGGGAGGGGAAUAGAUGGAGGAGCCACCCCACACUCUCAAACUCUUAAAGUGCCAGUGGCUCCUGGUGGACCUGUCUAUACCCCAUGGUACUAAUGUGGACCCCAGCAUCCUCUACGGACUACGAGAAAAACAUUUACCGAAACUAUGUUACUUGGGACUGUCAUGUUGUAUCAGGUCAGCUGAUUACUGAAGAACCAAUGGGAAUCCACCUCUUCCUCAUGUCACCUUCUCUACCGAUCCCAGUGCAGCACAGGUGAUAAAAGAACAGCAGAGUCACCAAAAGAUUGCCAGAACAAUGUUGCUUAUCCAGCCACAUUCUUGCUUCCUGAUCUCUGAUGGUCAGAUACUGUUCCCAGCUCCUUGUGCCUUUGUACAGCUUCAUCGGUUCCCAUUUAAUAGAGUGCUGUAAACAAUAUCACAAGUCAGCUGAUUCUGCUACUUAUAAAACUACUGAUCCCAGCCAGAUA